rnacentral:rRNA from 1 species
CAGUCGCCACGGUAAUACAGAGGGUGCGAGCGUUAAUCGGAUUUACUGGGCGUAAAGCGUGCGUAGGCGGCUUUUUAAGUCGGAUGUGAAAUCCCUGAGCUUAACUUAGGAAUUGCAUUCGAUACUGGGAAGCUAGAGUAUGGGAGAGGAUGGUAGAAUUCCAGGUGUAGCGGUGAAAUGCGUAGAGAUCUGGAGGAAUACCGAUGGCGAAGGCAGCCAUCUGGCCUAAUACUGACGCUGAGGUACGAAAGCAUGGGGAGCAAACAGGAUUAGAUAUCCCGGUAGUCCCUGUCUCUUAUAC